GAGAACCUAAGAAAAAAAAGAAAAAGAAAAACACACAGACAAAACAGACAGUAGAGCUGCUGUUGUCUUUUCUCUUGGGCAACCCCUAUCUUCCUCUUUUUCUUUUCUUCACGCCACCACAAAAGACUUCGGGAGGGGAGGAUCUUCUCCCCUCUUUCCUUCAGCUCUCUCUCUCUUGGUUCAACCAGUAGCAGUAAUGGACUUAUCAAUGGCUUCCCUUCUUCUCAGCUCCUUUUACUUCCUCAACUGGAGAACCAUCCCAACCGAAGAGAUCAACUCCAUGGUCCAUCUCUUUUCGAUUUUGUUCUUCUACUGGACCUCCAUCCUUUGCUUUUCCUUGAAUAAUCACAGGGUCAACAUCAUCUUCUUGAUCACAACACCUUCAUCACGGUGACCAUCAUCUCCUCAAGCUCCUCGGGCUUCCUCACCUGAAGUAGCAACAAAUUGACCAUCACCAGCCCUUCUUCUUCUCCUCUCAUGGCCGUUGCUUGAUUGCCCUCCAGUCUCUACUAAACUGCCAUUGUCCCCCGAGUCCCAAAGUUAAGUCUUUUUCCCUCUUGCUCUCGUUCCAUUUCACUUCCAUUCCAUUUCUCUUUCGUUUUCUAUCCUUUUCCUUUCCUUUUCUUCUCUGUUUGUGUCUUGGCAGUUAUAUUGACGCCCUUCGAGAUCGCUUGCCACUGCCCUUUGAGUUCCUUGAGCUCCUAUAGCCAUUGUCCUUCCUCCCGACAACUCCCUGAGCCUCCUCGAACCUCUCUGCUCUCUGUCCAGUCCUUCCAAGCUCUCUUUCGAGCUUCUUAAGUUGCCACACGCCCCAUCCUUGCUAUUGUUGCUGCAGCUAGCUACUGCUCUAUCGAUUCCCUCCUCUCCUGCUCUCAUGCUCGUGCAAAAGCUGCUUAGCCCUUUCCCGAACUCCUUGACGCCAAGUUACCACGCCCCUCGAGCUCCCUAAGUCGUUGUCAGGUUUGUUUUGCUGCUGGACCGCCAAUUCCCUCCUUGCUGCUACUCCUUUUCCUUUUUCUUACAGGUCCGACCCUCCUAGCUCGGUACCGAGCUUCAUUGAGUUACUGGUCAUUGCCGCUGAGUUGUUGAUUACCGCCACUGGGUUGUUAGUCACCGCCGCUAAGUUACUGGUCACUGCUAUGUUUUAGUAGGUCGCCGCUGCUGCUGGCACUCACGUCCUGGUUGGUCACUGCUGCUGAUGACGUUCGCGUUCUGGCUGGUCACUGCUGCUGUUGGCGCUUACUCUUUUGCAGGUCACCGACGCUGCCGGCGCUCAUGCUGUCGUUGGUCACUGCUGCUGCUAAUCGCGGUUGCCGUUGUCCAGCCCCUUCCCGGGCUUCUCCAAGUCUCUAAGAUCUCAAAUUACACCUUUAGGGUGUAGGUGUAUCAUCUAUAAACUUAGAUAAGUUAGGUCUUUUACAUUGCUUGCACUUGUAGGGUGAUAAGGCGGUCCCCGACCGACUUGCAUGCAUGUUUCAUUUAUUUUGCUUAUAACCUAUUUACUUGCACGCAUAACGUCGCUUUGCAUAAUGGCAUGACGGGAAGAGACUUAAGUUGUUUCCCUUUUUUUAUUU